GAGAUGCAACACGAGGACUUCC
rnacentral:siRNA from 1 species